CACGCAGGCGGUUUGUUAAGUCAGAUGUGAAAUCCCCGGGCUCAACCUGGGAACUGCAUCUGAUACUGGCAAGCUUGAGUCUCGUAGAGGGGGGUAGAAUUCCAGGUGUAGCGGUGAAAUGCGUAGAGAUCUGGAGGAAUACCGGUGGCGAAGGCGGCCCCCUCGGACGAAGACUGACGCUCAGGUGCGAAAGCGUGGGGAGCAAACA
rnacentral:rRNA from 1 species